UGGGGAAUAUUGCACAAUGGGCGCAAGCCUGAUGCAGCCAUGCCGCGUGUGUGAAGAAGGCCUUCGGGUUGUAAAGCACUUUCAGCGGGGAGGAAGGCGUUAAGGUUAAUAACCUUGGCGAUUGACGUUACCCGCAGAAGAAGCACCGGCUAACUCCGUGCCAGCAGCCGCGGUAAUACGGAGGGUGCAAGCGUUAAUCGGAAUUACUGGGCGUAAAGCGCACGCAGGCGGUCUGUCAAGUCGGAUGUGAAAUCCCCGGGCUCAACCUGGGAAAUGCAUUCGAAACUGGCAGGCUAGAGUAUUGUAGAGGGGGGUAGAAUUCCAGGUGUAGCGGUGAAAUGCGUAGAGAUCUGGAGGAAUACCGGUGGCGAAGGCGGCCCCCUGGACAAAGACUGACGCUCAGGUGCGAAAGCGUGGGGAGCAAACAUG
rnacentral:rRNA from 1 species